CACUCGCGCCUCUACUCGCACUGUCCCCCGCCGCCGCCGCCGCCGCCGCCGCCGCCGCUGCUGCAGACGCCGCCGCCAGACACGACGUUCGUGGCAGGCGCGUGUGCAGCUCGUAUCCAAUGUUGUUGUUGACGUAAUUGUAUUGAGCAUAGUGAAAUGUAAAUUUGAAUAUGGUGAAUUUUAUCCCGGGAUUAUUAUAUGUUAACUGAUUAUAUCUUAAUGUAUUUUAUAUAUAGUAUAUCUUAUUCAUAUACACUAUUUUUUUGAUGAUAGUGACAGUUAUAAAUGUAUUAGCCGGAAUAUAUUUGAUUGUUAUAUUGUUUUCAUACCGUGUUACUUGACUACCCUAGAGUUUUCAAUCGAAUGCAAUAAUCGACAUUAUUUUCUCUGUAUACAUACAUAUACACGUGUUAGUAGCAAUAGGUAUAUAGAUUACAGCUUUUCUUCAUUAUUAUACAAACGAGAUGUACGCGAUAUACAUUAUUUUGUUUUGUUAUAAAGUAGUAGAUUAAUCUGUUGAAGUCGAUACAAAAUAUGCUGUUGAUAUUAUACGGAGGGUGAGUGGGUUGCGAACAUCGACGCAUUGACCAGGAACGGAGAAUACGACAUAGCUUAAUUGAUGAGGCUCAAUGUUAAUCGGAUGCUUACGUAGUGAUCGUUUGAGGGGUAUCGUGUUAGUGGAGAGUGUGUAGUGUCGGGCCGGGCGCGCCCUCCGGCGGCCGACCGUCGGCCCCGCGCGACCGACGGUCGGUCGCCGGCCCGCUCGGCCCGCGGCCGGCCGCGCCCCCCGCGCCCCCGCCGUCACACUGUACUGCCAUUUAUAUAUUUUUGAUAAUGAUUGUUUGGGCAGUGAGGACUAAAAAGUAUGAAGUUUAAUUUGUAAGUGACAUUUGUUGAUCGUUUUCUUUGUAAUUUUUGUCUUUGUUAGCUUUAUAACGGUUUUUUUGUAUCGAGCGGCCGAUGAGCGAUCUGUGCGCACGAGCCAGGCAGGGCGGCGCCGCGGGUCGAUUCAUCACGCGCGACGAUACAGUCUUUGCGAGUGUACGAUUUGCGUUGUAAUUGUGCCAAGUGAGAUAUUUAAAUAUGAGAGAUUUAAGAUUAAGUGGACGAUAUCAAAAUUAAUGAAAAGCUUAGAUAUUUAUAUUUAUAAUUGUGAUAAUAAUAUAUGGAAGUUUUGGCAAAAGUGUAGAAUGUUUUACAUUCUUAUUCCAUUGUCUCGAUACGAGAGUAGAAUUAAUGUUCGACAAGCGUGCCAGUGUAGGGCGCCGCCGAUUCCCCGGUGUAUACGAUAGUCUCCCUCCUCCGAGCCGGCCACCGGCCACCGACCACCGGCCACCGACCACCGACCACCGCAGCGCGCCGCGCAUUCAAUACCUUGCCAGCUUAUACCCUGCUACUUCCACAUAUUAUUGAUUAUCUCGCUCUUGGCAUACAAACUGUAUACACAGAACCGUUUCGAUACCGAUUUGAUGAAACCGUAUCCACCAACGUCACUGCAACGACUUGCUGAUCAUCGUAUUUACAUUGUGUAAUUUCUGUUCGUUACGUGUGCUCACGUAUUUUAUUUUUUUAUUUUGUUAAAGUAUAAUUCUUUAUUUGUCACUUCUGUUAAGGGGCCCGAAUGGAACAUAGAGCGAGCGACAGUGACUGUUUCUUUAAAAAUGGGCAUUGGUUUUUGAACCGCUUACGUGAGGUUAAACAGAAGGCAUCAAUAGAAUGUAAGAAACGAGUGUAACCAGGGUCGAGGAGUUUAGCACCCGGUGUACACUCGUUUUCGAUGAAACCACCUAGUUUUUAUGUAUGUACACCCAAAUACGCAUACGAAGAUUUUAUUUUUUAUGAUGUGUCCUUUGCUUGUACACAAGUCGACCGUAAUCUCGAUUGAUUUAAAAUUUUACAAAUAUUUUUAACACCCGUAUUACACUAUGAUAACUUGAACAAUCAAUACUAUUUAAAUGAAUUUUAAAUACUCAAUUGUUGUAACUCGAUAAUGGAUACGUGUCUCGGGAGAUUGAGCGUGUUUUUAAGUAAUAUAAUCUAGAAGUAAUACGAAUAGAUUGUGACCAUAAUUGCUGAUUGUUAGUUAAAUCAGAUCGGUGACGUUAUCGGGAUUAACGGUUGACUUGUCGAUAGAGGUAGCGACGAGCGCGAACCGCCGCGACUCGAGUGUACAUACAGAAACAUGACCCUUAAUCCUUCCAAUUGUAAGCAAGAGUAUAACAUUGAUUUAUGAUGAACGUGUUAGGGUCAAUCCCCCUGCAACGUGACGCGCACAUGCCGGGAAACACAUUUCUAAAUGAUGUAUUGAAUUGACAGACUCCAAUGUGGAGACGUCACACUAGUCACAUUGAAGUCUGUCAAAAUGUUAUGCAAUUUGGAAAUGCACCUAACGGCGUGUACGCGGCACUCUGCCGUGGGAGCUGACCCCUAGGAGGCAGAAAUAGUUUUAGUUGAUUAUUAUUGUAUCGUUGUGAAGUAGUAUUAAGUAUUGGGUGCGCGCGGGCGGCCGGCUAGAGACUGAACUACACCCCGCCGCGCCGCCCGCGCCCUCCGCCCCUAUAUGUCAUUCGCGCUGAUUUCUUCUCAUUCUUGUUUGAUGGUUCUACUGUUGUUCUAUAUAAUGAUCAUUUCUCAUAUUGUGUGUAAAUCGACAUUUUGUGUAUUUGGCGCGUGAUUGAGUUGAUUUUAUUUUGCAUGAAUGUACCUAUUUUAAAAAUUGUCUUGAAUAAAAUUGUCAUUUUGAAUAACGUUUAAAAUUGUCAUUGUAAAAGGUAUACUUAAUUUGGAGGAUGUUUGAUCGCGGUCGAGAACGUUAAGGCCGCGCUCCCGGCCGGCCGCGCGCGCGCAUUUGCCAUUCGGAGUAUUCGCAUUUUGAAAAUUUGAUGUUUCAAUGUACGAGUUAUGGGAUUAAGUUUCUUUGUCGUUCUUUCAUGCUGAACAUUUUACAUAUUCCACUUAAAUUUUUUUCCUUUGAAUUAUACUGUUAUUUUUAGAACCAUUUUAUAAUUGGUAUAAGUUCAGAAACUAAUAACUACCUCAAUAUUACUAAAUGAAUAUGAUAAUUAUUAAUUAUCUUUGUGCAUGUUUUGGGAACUGAUUUAAAAAAUACAAAAAUCAAUAUAGUAUAAGAACGCUAUUACAGUAAUGGAAUAUUGUCAAAGUUUAGGUUUCUUAAUGUAAUAAAAUUAUUGGAAAUUAAUGUAUUUAUUUUAUUUGAAGUAUAAUUUACCUCUCGAUGACUACUAAUAAUUACAGGACGGAAUUGCACUACUUUGUGAAUUGUAAUACUUAAUAGCUUUGUUUUAAUUGUAACAGGUAAAUAAGAUAAUAACAGAUUUAUAAUUACGUUAAAGAUUAAUUAAUUAUAACUACUGUGUAUAGAACAUAUUUGCCAUAAUUUUAUAAAGUCGUGUUGAUAUUUUCAAAUGGAGUAAGCACUGCAGGUAAUUCUAAAUAUUUUACACAAUUCUUGUACAAGUCGUUAGACUAAAAUAGUGCUAGCUUUUUUAUUGAACUUAUUUUAUACAUGUUGAACCAUUGUUGUUACAUAUAAUAUCACUAGGAUGAAUAUUAUUUGUGCUACAUAUUCAUUGUUCAUAUUAUAUUAUUAUUUUAUACAAUCCAGACUCGCCGGGAGAUAUGGAUGUAACUGAUUUCUUCGAUCUUAAUUUAUUCGUAUUAUCCGAGGAGCACAUGUCGAUACGAAUGUAUUAUAACAACCUUUAGUUCCCUCUUCACUUUGGGCCACGAUUGACAACUAUUGCGCAGCUGUCUAUACCACUAACCGAAUAAAAUCGACGUCGAAUAUGAUCAGACGAAUAUGCUCCUCUCCAAAUCUGUGAUAGCUGAAAUCGGUCGUCACGAACUAUCGUGGAGAGGUCGCACUGUAGAUACCCCGAUAGACUUCUCUACAUCACAUUCCAUCUCGUGCGAGUCUGGACGGCCUACUGAUAUGACACCGCGACACAGGAUUCUUGUAAAAAUAUUUCGAUCAUUCAUUAUGUUCAUAAUAAUCAUUUCAUCGCGUAGUAUAGUUUGGCACACCCUAACGAAUGUAUGGACGUCUAUAAUUCAUCGUAUUAAUAUUUGUACCUACAUUGGGAUUCGUCUAUGUUGUGUAUCAAAAUGGAAAUUCUUGUUAGUAUUAAACGGUAUUGUGUGUUUGUACCUUAUAUUUAGCCACCAAAUCAUUUCUCAACGAAAACGAAACUAUUCGAUCUUCAUUCGUCGCCUGACGAGACCUUGUCGUGCGGUCGGUUCUGCCGACGUCUAUGUUUCAAAUAAAAACAUGUAUAACUGUUGAAAACACAAAAA